CGCGGCCUAUCAGCUUGUUGGUGGGGUAAAGGCCUACCAAGGCGACGACGGGUAGCCGGCCUGAGAGGGCGACCGGUCACACUGGGACUGAGACACGGCCCAGACUCCUACGGGAGGCAGCAGUGGGGAAUAUUGCGCAAUGGACGAAAGUCUGACGCAGCAACGCCGCGUGAGGGAUGAAGUACAUCGAGAUGUAAACCUCUUUCAGCAGGGACGAAGCUAACGUGACGGUACCUGCAGAAGAAGCACCGGCUAACUACGUGCCAGCAGCCGCGGUAAUACGUAGGGUGCAAGCGUUGUCCGGAUUUAUUGGGCGUAAAGGGCUCGUAGGCGGUCUGUCGCGUCGGAUGUGAAAACUCGGAGCUUAACUCCGGGCCUGCAUUCGAUACGGGCAGACUAGAGUUCGGUAGGGGAGACUGGAAUUUCUGGUGUAGCGGUGGAAUGCGCAGAUAUCAGGAAGAACACCGAUGGCGAAGGCAGGUCUCUGGGCCGAUACUGACGCUGAGGAGCGAAAGCAUGGGGAGCGAACAGGAUUAGAUACCCUGGUAGUCCAUGCCGUAAACGGUGGGCGCUAGGUGUGGGGAAUCAUCUACAUUCUCCGCGCCGCAGCUAACGCAUUAAGCGCCCCGCCUGGGGAGUACGG
rnacentral:rRNA from 1 species